CACAUUGAUUGAUUUGUGGAUGUUGAACCACCCUUGCAUCUCUGUAAUAAAUCCCACUUGAUCUUGAUGUGUGAUAUUUUUAAUGUACUGUUGAAUUUAGUUUGCUAAUAUUUUGUUGAGGAUUUUUGCAUGUAUGUUCAUCAGGGAUAUUGGCCUGAAUUUUCUUUUCUUGUGAUAUCUUUGUCUGGCUUUUGUAUCAGGGUAACGCUGGCCUUAUAAAAUAAGUUUGGAAGUGUUCCCUCCUCUUCUGUUUUUGGAAGAGUUUCAGUAGGAUUGGUGUUAACCUUCUUUAAAUGUAUGGUAGAAUUCACCAGUGAAGACAUCUGGUCCUGGGAUUUUGUUUCUUGGGAAGUUUUUGAUUACCAAUUCAAUCUCUUUACUAGUAAUUUGACUGUUCAGAUUUUCCAUUUCUUAAUGAUUCAGUCUUGAUGGGUUAUAUGUUUGUAGGAAUUUAUCCACUUCUUUUUAGGCUGUCCAAUUUGUUGACAUAUAAUUGUUCAUAGCAGUCUCUUAUGAUCCUUUGUAUUUGUGUGAUAUUAGUUCUAAUGUCUCUUCUUUCAUUUAUAAUUUUAUUUAUUUGAGUCCUCUCUCUUUUUUUUUUUCUUGGUAAGUCCAGCUAAGGGUUUGUCUAUUUUGUUUAUCUUUUCAAAAUACCCAUUGUACAGAGUUUAUUGACCUCCCCGCCUUCCAAGGACACUGGGUCUGGGCCCUACAUGAAGGAAUGUGUCUGGGCUUGGGGCCAAAGAUGGCCACUUCAGCCCUGACUCUAAGGCACAAGUUACAAAGAAUAUGUCCUGCGUCAUGUUCCUUUUAGAAUUGCUUUUGCUGCAUCUCAUAAGUUUUACUGUGUUGUGUCUCCAUUUCCAUUUGUCUCAAGAUAUUUUUAAAUUUCUCUUUUGAUUCCUUCUUUGACCCAUUGGUUGUUGAGGAGUGUGUUGUUUAAUCUCCACAUAUUUGUAGAUUUUCCAGUUUUCUUCUUGUAAUUGAUUUUUAGUUUCAUACCAUUGUGGUCAGAAAAGAUGGUUGAUAUGAGUUCAGUCUUCUUAGAUUUAUUAAGACUUGUUUUGUGGCUUAGCAUGUGAUCUAUCCUAGAGAAUUUUCCAUAUGUGCUUGAGAAGAAUGCGAAUUCUGCUGCUGUUGGAUGGAAUGUUCUAUAAAUAUUUGUUAGGUCCAUCUGGUCUAAUGUGUAGUUUAAGUCCAAUGUUCCCUUAUUGAUUUUUUGUCUGGAUGAUCUAUCUGUUGUUGAAAGUGGGGUAGAGAAAACUUUAUUUUAUUUUUCUUUUCUUUUUUUUUUGCUGAUGAAGAUUCCCCCUGAGCUAACACCCAUGCCAAUCUUCCUCUAUUUUUUAGUAUGUGGGCCACCAGCACAGUAUGGCUGCUGAUAGAGUGGUGUAGGUUCAUGCCCUGGAACUGAACCCAGGCCACCAAAGUGGAGUACGCUGAACAUAACCACUAGGCCACUGGGGCUGGCCUGAGAAAACUUUACUUAAUCUUGAUCAAAUCCACAAACUCUGCCAUUACAUUUUAAUGAUGGCCAAAACCCUCCCCCUUUUUUAAAAAAUAUAGAUUCAUAGGAAGUUGCAAAGGUAGUACAGAGACGUCUUGUGUACCUUCAUCAGUUUCCUCUAAUGAUCACAUCCUAUCUAACUACAGUACAAUAUCAAAACUGGGCAACAUAUUGGUACAACGUGUGCCAUAGUUUUAUGUCGUUUUAUCACGUGUGAUUUGUAUAACCACCACUGCAAUCAAGAUAUAGAACUGUGUCAUCACUACAAAGAUCUUCCUCAUGCUACUGCUUUAUAGCUACACUCUUUUAAAAAAUUUUCUCUUACAAUUUAAAAAAGACACUUUUGAAAGAUCCUGCCUAUCUCUGUUGUGUUAAGGGGUCAAAGAAAUUGGAUUUUGGAUGUGCCCACUUUUCAGCCAGAGAAAGGGACAACGAGAUAAAUGAUGGGGGCAAUGAAGUUGCGGCAACAGGAAUGACCCUGGGGGAAUCCCAAAGGAGAGAGCAUAAACUUAAAGAGAGAGUCCCCUAAUGGGUCUUGUUUCCUGGGGGCAGGUUCUGUUUAAAAAAUCUUGCGUUUUACUGCAAGGGAAUACAAAGGAUGCAGAAUACCAACAACCGCCAGUAAGGUGCUAGUUCUAAUUUUAGCCACUGUAUUCUGUCUGACCUCCAAACAGGUUGUUUGCAAUCUCUGUCUCCCCUUUAUGUUUAGUGCGGAAGCAAAUUAUUUCUUUUGUCUUCACUGCUUGGGAGCGAUUGUGAAAUAUUUUUGGUAAAUAUGUUUAGGUUUUUCUGGGUAUCUAUCUAUUCAUGGGUAAAUGAAAACUUUUCUUGAUCUCUCUUGGACAGAAAGCAAGAAGAAUGUAAGGUUUCCAAUAAGAAAAAAAGAAGACGGUUAGAAUAAAAAUUUAUAGAAGCCAGGGACAAAAGCAAAAAAGUACCUGAGUACACAGUGGAGGGAAAACUCAAGACAAAAGAAAAAUAGAAUCCUGGGAUCAGUGGAGGCCCAAAGAAGCCCCAAAGGAGAGAAUCUGGUCUUCUCACGGGACCAAGCCGAGGUGCGCACUUGAAGGAUAAGAUGCACAUGACUUUGGAGGAGAGCAGUGGAAACCAGGAAGGUCAGAGCAGUCAUUGGACCCUCCUGGGAUGAGUUUGAUGAUUACAUAAGGACAGGGACUCAAAAUCUUAAAUUUGCUAAGGGGCUGGCCCCGUGGCCGAGUGGUUAAGUUCGCGUGCUCCGCUGCAGGCGGCCCAGUGUUUCGUUGGUUCAAAUCCUGGGCACAGACAUGGCACUGCUCAUCAAACCACGCUGAGGUGGCGUCCCACAUGCCACAACUAGAAGGACCCACAAUGAAGAAUAUACAACUAUGUACCAGGGGGCUUUGGGGAGAAAAAGGAAAAAAUAAAAUCUUUAAAAAAUAACUUAAAUUUGCUAGGAACCUUAGAAAUUGUAUAGUUCAAUUUUUUUUAGUUUUAGUUUUGUUUUUACCACCUCCAUCUCCUCCACCCACUCCACUCCUACCUCCUUGGGAAUCCUGGAGGUGCUUCACUUCUGAAAACAUUUCUAACCAGAGAAAACACUGCAAUCAAUGUAUGCUCCUCAAAUGUAUGCCACACUACUUGUGUAUGCUUUUGUGUAGACUAUAUGAGAAAAAGUAUUCUUUUCCUUUCUGCCCAUAAGUUCACGAUCUUGAAAUCCACCAUCCUGACAUCUAAAGUACUCUUAAAAACUGAAAGUGUUUUGGUAAGUUUGGCACCAAAACUUAUUUAGUGGCAAAACUUGACCUGAGCUGAUGGGUAGUUUAUAGCCUUUCUCUAUCUCAUUUACUGUG
rnacentral:lncRNA from 1 species